GAGUUUGCAGGUAGAGCCUGUGAUUGAGUCAGGUUCUGGGAAAUGAAAACAAAUGAUCUGGAAGCCCUCAGCUUCUGGACAACCUUCUCUGGAAGUUGGAUAUCGUAAAGGUCCUGCACCCGAAGCGAGCUAAAUUCACCUCGCCUUGUCUACUGAGGGGAAGGAGAGGGGAAAUCACACCCCAGAGCUCCACAAGCCCAUAAAAUGGCAGAGCUUCCUGGAGAAGGCUGCCCUGAACCCCAAGGCCCUGGCUGCCUGCGCUGUAAUGAAAUGCAUGACUACGGAAGACAGUAAUAAUUGCAGCGAAGGCUCGUUCCAGCUCCCGGAUGAUUUGGUGCUGUCAGGAGUGCGCUGUCCUCUGACAUCCCAGGAGGCGAACGGCACCAGUGACUGCAGGCCCUGAUUGGGGCAGUGAAAUAUUGCUGGCAAAAAUUAAAAGGUCCCCGUGUCAAAAUAAUUCAUGAUAUGCAUAUCUUCCA